UACGUAGGGGGGCAAGCGUUGUCCGGAUUUAUUGGGCGUAAAGGGCGUGUAGGCGCCAGACAGGUCCGUUGUGAAAACUCGAGGCUCAACCUCGAGACGCCGAUGGAAACCGUCGUGGCGUAGAGUCCGGAAGAGGAGAGUGGAAUUCCUGGUGUGAGCGGUGAAAUGACGCAGAUAUCAGGAAGAACACCCGUGGCUAAGGCGGCUCUCUAGUACGGUACUGACGCUGAGACGCGAAAGCGUGGGGAGCGAACAGG
rnacentral:rRNA from 1 species